UGUAUAGGAACUUGCCUAAUAGUGGGGGACAACGUGUGGAAACGCACGCUAAUACCGCAUACGCUCACGGAAUCGCAUGGUUCUGUGAGGAAAUGCUCCGGCGCUUUGGGAUGGACUCGCGGCCUAUCAGCUAGUUGGUGAGGUAACGGCUCACCAAGGCUCUGACGGGUAGCUGGUCUGAGAGGACGAACAGCCACACUGGGACUGAGACACGGCCCAG
rnacentral:rRNA from 1 species